GGAGAGACAACAUAUAAAUACGGGUAUUGGGGCCUUAUAUGGGAAGAGAGGAUACAGAGAUGGAGGAAUUGGGGUCUUAUUUAGGAACAGACAUCACAUAAAUAGGGGAAUUUGGGUCUUAUAUAGGAAGAGACAUCACAUAAAUAGGGGGAUUUGGGGUCUUUUAUGGAGAGACAACACAUAAAUAGGGGAAUUGGGGUCUUAUAUAGGAAGAGAGGAUACAGAGAUGGAGGAAUUGGGGUCUUAUUUAGGAAUAGAUGUCACGUAAAUAGGGGGAUUUAGGGUCUUUUAUGGAGAGACAACACAUAAAUAGGGGAUUUGGGGUCUCUUAUAAAGAGACAUCACAUCAAUAGGGGGAUUUGGGGUCUUUUAUGGACAGACAACACAUAAAUAGGGGAUUUGGGGCCUUAUAUAGGAAGCUCUUCUAUAGGGUCUUCUAUAGGAAUCCCCAGAUCCCCAUUGAGGUGGGAUUUGGCCAGGAAUCCAACAUGGCGGACAUUGGGGCCUGUUCGUGCGGCCUCACGCACUUAGUCAAGGUCAAUCCAGUUGUGACGUCACUUCUACGCGACGCGAUAUGACGUCAGUGUUGCGCGCCGACGCGUGACGUCACUAGAGCGCGACAAGCCGCGUUUGCAAUGGAGGCGGCGGGGCAACAUGGCGGCGAGGAAGAGGAGGAAGAAGAAGAUGAAGAGGAGCAAUGGCUGCUCGAGUCCCUUCAUAUGUACGAGGCCCUGCACGACUUCGAGCUGCAGAACCCGACCCGUGUUAUCGAAUGGGGCCCGGGGAACCGUGAGUGCGGAGGGGNNNNNNNNNNNNNNNNNNNNNNNNNGGAUGAAUAUCGUUUUGCUGGGCUCCACAUGUUUGCUCACACCGACCUGGUUGG
rnacentral:lncRNA from 1 species